rnacentral:lncRNA from 1 species
GAAAGCCGUGCUGCUGUGGAUGCUGGACCCCCCGGAGAGGGACGCUGUGCUGGCCAACGAGGCCUUGAAGAAGUGGUCCCCCGGGAACCGUGCGUUGAUUGAGAUCGCCGCGACGAGGACUGCUGACGAGCUGUUCGCGGUCCGGAGGGCGUACCAUGCCCGCUUCAAGAGAUCGCUUGAGGAGGACGUCGCGGCCCACACUAGUGGGGAUUUCCGGAAGGUAACUCGCCGGGCUGGUCACUGGUCCUGUCUUUGAUCUGAUUGAUCUGAGGAUUUUUUUUUUCUCCUUUUUUUGGGUUUAGUUGCGUUGAAGUUUUGAUUUUCAAUCCCAUUUAGGUUCUGUUUGUGUUGGGGUAGGAAAGAUAAAAUGAGAAUAUCGAGGUUGUUUAUGUCACGCCUUCUUGUGCCACUCGUAAGCUCAUACCGUUAUGAGGGUCUUGAAGUGAAUGCGUCACUGGCGAAGUCAGAGGCUAAGGUGCUGCAUGAAAAGAUAAACGACAAGGAUUAUGGCCAUGAAGAAAUCAUUAGAAUUCUAACUACAAGAAGCAAAGCACAACUACUUGCAACGUUCAAUGAUUACAACAAUGAAUUUGGUCAUCCAAUUAACAAGGACUUGAAGGCUGAUCCUAAGGAUGACUUCCUCUCUGCACUGAGGAGCAUCGUACGUUGCAUCAUUUGCCCUGAAAGAUAUCUUGAGAAGGUCAUCCGGCUUGCAAUCAACAAAGUGG